rnacentral:lncRNA from 1 species
UUAUACUUUUGUUAUUAAAGCAUCCAGGGCGAUUUAAUAUUUGUUCCUAGAUGUAAUUCAUUUGAAUAGGUUUUGCAUUUGUUAUUCAGCAGUGUAUAAAGCUAACCUUGAUAAUUUUACUUUUAAUUAAUUAUCUAAAUGGAAAAUGCUAUUAGCUGAAUCAUAUCCACUACAGUACCUAGAGCUCCAUAGGAGUCUAAUCAUAGAUCAUAAAAGGUUAAAAAUCCUCUUCCAAAGCAGGAAGCCAAUCAAUAUAACAACAGUAGUUGGGGAGAAAUGGGAGCCCUUCAGAAGUAUUGAUGUGGCCUUAAUUAUGUCAUCCAUUACCCUAAAGAAAAAAAAAAGUAAUUACCACGCUGGGCUCUCAUCUUUACCCCUUUAUACGUUCAGUUCCAUUUGGAGGAGUUAUGUAUUUUUUAACAUUAGUGCCAAGUGUAUAGAAGGACAACAGCAAAAGCAGUGCCUCUUUGGGCACAACCCUUUUCAAGUAGCAUUCUUAUCUGUUAGAAAUGUAGAAAGAACUUCAUUUGUAAUCCUUAAAUUAAAAUGUGGUAAGUAGGCAGCAAGAACUUAUCCUGUGUUUUUACGCAGCCAUGCACUUAUUUUAAGCUAAUUCACUCCAUGGCUAGGAUCGAGAUAGGAAUCAACCUAUGUGAUUUGCUUUAGGAGAAAUUAAGAGGUAUAUUCUUAAGGCAUAUUAUAUUUUGAUGCUAAUUCUGUUCUGGGGAGCACCUUGUACUGUCACUGUUUUUGUACUAAAUCUUCAAAUAUUGUCUACUGUGUAAGGCAGAGAAAUUUCUUAUCAUGCAAAAACCAUUUUGUUUCCAGGGUAACAAGUACCUAAGUGCAUGCACAACUUGCUUUCCCUUGUAACAUUCAUGAUCUCAUUCACAAUUCUGAUUUUAAAACAAAACAAAAAAAAUCUUUACAAUGAGCUAUAUAGGGACAUACCAGAUGUUGCAGUGAUUUUAGCUAUCAACAAACUGUUAACCAUGUACAAUAUUUAAAAUAGGCUUAUUUUGAUGUAUUGCCUAUUAUACAAAUACACAAAACAUUUUUGGAGGCCUCAGUUAUGAGUGGCAGAGCUUUCUGUGUAUAAUUUGUCUACAUAAUUUGUCUAAUAAAAAUGUUUUCUAAACUUGC